rnacentral:SRP_RNA from 1 species
GCCGGGCGUGGUGGCGCGCACCUGUAGUCCCAGCUACUCAGGAGGCUGAGGUAGGAGGAUCACUUGAGUCCAGGAGUUCUGGGCUGCAGUGCGCUAUGCCAAUCGGGUGUCCACACUAAGUUUGGCAUCAAUAUGGUGACCUCCCGGGAGCAGGGGACCACCAGGUUGCCUAAGGAGGGGUGAACCGGCCCAGGUUGGAAACGGAGCAGGUCAAAACUCCCGUGCUGAUCAGUAGUGGGAUCGUGCCUGUGAAUAGCCACUGCACUCCAGCCUGGGCAACAGAGUGAGACCCUGUCUCU